rnacentral:rRNA from 1 species
UACGUAGGCAGCGAGCGUUGUUCGGAGUUACUGGGCGUAAAGGGUGUGUAGGCGGUUGUUUAAGUUUGGUGUGAAAUCUCUCGGCUCAACUGGGAGGGUGCGCCGAAUACUGAAUGACUAGAGUGCGGGAGAGGAAAGUGGAAUUCCUGGUGUAGCGGUGAAAUGCGUAGAUAUCAGGAGGAACACCGGUGGUGUAGACGGCUUUCUGGACCGUAACUGACGCUGAGACACGAAAGCGUGGGUAGCAAACAGG